rnacentral:lncRNA from 1 species
UACUUUAAUCAAGCAAAUCAUAAGCUCUACAAACUCCCGAGGCAACGAACACAUAUAAAAAGGCUUGCAGCAGGCAUCCCAUCGCCGCACCCCAACACUCCAUAUUCAUUCAUUUCACACCCCAAGAUACCAAGAUAUCCAAGGAAACAUGGCACCCUGCAGAUUCCGCAAGCAUCAGGGCGUGGCCGCAGGGGGUCUUGCGCUGCUGGCGGCGCUGGUCGUCGUUGGCCUUGCACUGCCAGGCGGCGCCGCCGCCCAGGAAGACGAGGGCGAUGGCAAGGACGUCGACAUCCCUGAAAGCGUCCAGAAGGCCUGUUUCGAAAACAACACAGGAGGUCUUCUUGCCUGUGCAUCGGGCCAAGAGAAAGAUAUUCAAGGUUGCUGCGGGGAGCUGAUGUCCAAGGCUGGGAGUGACUGCGCCUGUGGCGUUCUCAAGGUGAUCAAGGGUAGGGGCAUUGACCCCAAUAAUGUCUGCAACACUAAUGAUAUUGAAAAAGCUUGUCAAUAAUCUUUUUCCAUUUCAAAACAUCAGCCCAGUCCGGUGUGUGGGUUUCUUCGACAAAUGCUUCAUUUCCUUUAAUUUCCUAUAUUUACUGUAAUGAUAUUUCCCCUGUUUGUUUUUGCAAGUAAUGCUUAUAUUUCGCGUGCACACGUGCUUGUGCUAUUAUUUGAGAGCUUGUAUGUAAUUCUGUAAUGAUUUCUCCGCUGUUUGUUUCUGCAAGUAUGAAUAAGGCUGCCACCUUUAACUUACUUAUUUCCUGUUUAUCUUUUGUCUAUAUCCUUUGCUAGCAUUCCGCUGUUUCUACGAUCUUUUUAUUUCGCUCAACAUUACAG